rnacentral:lncRNA from 1 species
AUGCGUCCGGAGUCAGCCCUGGAUUCCAAUCCUGGCUCUGCCACGUGGACGGUGACCUGUCGGAAAAUGGAGAGCCCGGUGCCCAACCUGCAGCCCAGCUCAGUGGUCACGAAAGGGUCUGGGGGGCAGGGGCGGCAGAUGGAAAACGGGUGCGGCUCUUUCCUUCAUCUGUCUGCGCACGGACUUCCCCAAGGUCCCCCCUCAGUGCACCCCCUUUUCUCCUCUUUGCCCUCCUGGCUUAAGUGCGUUGGUCUCUUACUGGGUGCCCCCACAGCAUCCCAUGGAUCCCAGAUGGAUGAACAGAUGACUGGAUGGACUCAAAACUCCCGAGGUCUGACCCACGGGAGGUGCUCGGCCAAUGCCGCCCCUCCCCUGGCCCCUUGGCGGCGGGGGGGGGGGGGACACGGCGGGCCGGCCACUGCUACUCAAGUCCUGGAAGCAGCCCAGAUGGGAAGCAGAAGUGCCCCGGGGUGCCCUGGCAAUCAGGCCAGAUCCCCCGUGGGGCGCGCUGGGACCGGCGCGGGGCCCAGCCGCCCUCCCGCUGCGACGCGCAUGCUCCAUGCCCCCCACCCGCCGCGCUUGGUUCCCACGCCGCCGCCACCGCCGCCGCUGCCGCCCCGGCCCCGCCCGCUCCCCGCCCACCUCCAGGCCCUGCUCCUGGCUCUAGACAGAAGAGGACGGACAGCCUCGCAGAACGCGCCUCCUGAGAGCGGCGCCCAGCUGGCAAGGGAGCCCCCGGAAGGCAUGAAUAAGCUGGAGUCACCCAUGCAGCAAAAGCAUCCUGGGCCCGCUCCCCACCAGCCACUGCCUGGCUCUUCCGCUUCCCCACCGGGGAAUUGCACAUUCUGGCCUCCAGCUGGGUGCGGAGCACAUCCUUGGAGCAAACUUUCUUCGGCCCCGCUGUUUCCUGGCACUGAGAGCCGAUGCGGAGGAAUCAGACACUGCCCGCUCUGUCCCUGACAGACUCUUCCUGCCCUUGGUGUGGAGUGGUAUGUGUGUGUUGGGAGUUUUUCUGUGAGGACCCUGACCUGAGAGGAAAAGGGGUCAGCAGUGGAGCUUCCGGGGAUGGCUGGAAAGUCGGGGUGCAGGGGUCCUGCCCCCAUGGGAAGAAAGGAAUGAGAAAGAGGAAGCCAAGGCUCGCCGGAGGUGGGCAGGACUCCCUGUCUGGCGGCCCACCGCCCAG